CAUAACAAAGGCCUGACCUAGAAGAAUGGCAGUGAGAAGGAAGAAAAGGGGAUACAACAGAAAGAGGACCCAGAACUGACAGCAGAUGUCCAGAUGGAUAACUCAGGUGGGACAGGAUGAAGAAAAUGAAUGCAGUUUGGGACAUCCUGAGUUUGAGGUGAGAGCACUUAUGGCAAAGUGGCAAGAGUCGUAGAGUAUGCCAUGACAAAACAAAGUCUGAAGGACUGGUGGUCAGUGUGGCGGGAAGAGAGGCAAGCAUGGCACCAAAGAGCUCCGGUUUUGAUCUCCAGUGAAUUACACACAGCCACCCACGAAGAACUGAGCCCGACCUAGCAAGCACAGACAAGCGAGGCAAGAAUUCAUCACAACUGCACAGAGAAAGCUAUGUGUGGUGAAGGGCCUCCUUUAGGGACUGACUGUAGAAAAACUAUGGAACUGAGUGGUUAGCUAGUCUAGACAGGGAAGAGAUACAGUUCAGAAGGCAUGAAAAAGAACAUUUCAGGUGAGAGGUCUUAUCAUUUGGCCUCAAGUCAAAAGAACACAAUUUCUUAAUGAAAGAACGUAGGCAACAACUAGGUGGGAGAAAUACAAUUCACAAAACUAGAAACCCUAUGAAAUAGCCAUUAUUAUCGACCCGAACAUUAAAAAAGUCAUCUUAAGCAAGGUGUCCAGGAGGAAAGAAGUGACAUGGGAGAAUAGUCUGUUCAUCCACUCCUAGAACAGAUAGCUAAACCUGUGUGACUCCCAUUUAACGUCACAGGCAGCUUGGAGGAAAUAACUCUUCUAGCUGCCUGCAUCUAGACUGUUCUAAAAAUGAGUAGGAGAGAAGGCAGGAAGCCAAGAGCAAGAGAGGCAGGAUACAGAGAAAAGAAUACAUGUAGGACUGGAAAACUGGCCUGCGUGUCAAUUCCUGAUGCACCUACCAAAUGGUCUUAAGAUCUGACUGCUGAUUUCUCUACCUAACAAGAGACACUGACAACAUAUCUAAUACCAGAAUAAAUGGGAUAGAAGGAUAGUUGACACAGAGAUGUGAGAUGCGGAUGAGAAAUUGGAGCAGUUUCUGUUACUCAAAGUUCUUCCUCACUCUCUGGUGCCUGUUUCUUCAUCUCGGUCUGGAGACAACACCAGAGGAAUGAUGACCUGGUUACGGAACAGCGGUGUUUUUUCAUGCUUCAAGACCUUGUUCAGAGUGUUCAGCUGUCCAGAAAGCAAGGCAAAGCUGUCCAGGACAGAUGGCCUGGUGGUGGUAACAAGGUACACCCUACACUCCCUCACUGAGACAUUUUCGACAGACCUAAUGCCAGGAGAUCAUUCUCUCAUGUGCACCUCUGUAGCACAUGCACUCCAGCUUCCUCCAUCCUAGCAUCUGUGAGCCUGGCUGUCUUGUCAGUCUCUGGGAAAUCUGCCUACUCAUGAAGACUUCUCUGAACACCAGUCCUGCUCUCCCCUUUCCCUCCCCCAACCAACGACUCCAGCUUUCCAUCUGCUCUCAUCAUUUUGUUUCAACCUUCUCCUUGCUGAAUUAAUAUGCAAUCAUCUAUCUCUGUGUCAAUAUUCCCGUGCCUCUUUCACAAGCUCAGUCAACCCAUUAACAUUUAUUGAGACUACCAGCUGCAAGAAACUAAGUGACAAAUGAAAAACAAAAACCACACAUGCUUCUAAGCACUGGACAAACAAAUUAAAAUGCUGGGGGUCUGCAAAGCAU
rnacentral:lncRNA from 10 species